rnacentral:rRNA from 1 species
UACGUAGGGCGCAAGCGUUAUCCGGAAUUAUUGGGCGUAAAGAGCUCGUAGGCGGUUUGUCGCGUCUGCUGUGAAAUCCUCAGGCUCAACCUGGGCUUGCAGUGGGUACGGCAGACUAGAGUGCGGUAGGGUGACUGGAAUUCCUGGUGUAGCGGUGGAAUGCGCAGAUAUCAGGAGGAACACCGAUGGCGAAGGCAGGUCACUGGGCCGCAACUGACGCUGGAGGAGCGGAAAGCAUGGGAGCGAACAGG